rnacentral:rRNA from 1 species
GUAGGGAAUAUUAGAAAUGGACGAAAGUCUGAUCUAGCAACACCGCGUGUGCGAAGAAGGCCUUCGGGUUGUAAAGCACUUUUUGGAAGGAUUAGGAAGGAAUGUACUUCCAGAAUAAGUCUCGGCUAACUACGUGCCAGCAGCCGCGGUAACACGUAGGAGGCAAACGUUAUCCGGAUUUACUGGGCGUAAAGCGCGUGUAGGUGGUUCUGUAAGUAGGGCGUGAAAGCUCCUGGCUCAACUGGGAGAGGCCGUUCUAAACUGCAGAGCUAGAGGAUGGUAGAGGGAGGUGGAAUUCCGGGUGUAGCGGUGGAAUGCGCAGAUAUCCGGAGGAACACCAGUGGCGAAAGCGGCCUCCUGGACCAUUCCUGACACUCAGACGCGAAAGCUAGGGUAGCAAACGGGAUUAGAAACCCUGGUAGUCC